AUCUCGCAUUUGAUCUGUGAUAAGUUUGUCAGAUGAGUGCGAUGUGCAAACGCUUCUCCUCUCGUACUGUAUUGCAAUAAAUGCUGUUUCAAUUCCAGGAUGUGUCCGGCUUUAUACACAUGUGGACUUUUACUGUUCGUGCUUACAGGGAACGUGGACAGUGUUACCUUUGAACAGUCCUCCUCUCAGGUGGUUAGGGAUGGGACCGCGCAGCUCAGGAUCAACUGCAGCCACGAUGGCAGCAACCUCCAAACGAUGCUGUGGUACCAACACAAACAGGGCAGCCGGUCGAUGAGCCUCAUUGGGCACAGCGUCCUGCUGGCCGACCCCGUCUACGAGGGCCGGUUCAAAGACAGGUUUCAGUUAAAAAGAGACGACGUGCUGAGAGGAUCUCUGAUCAUCCUCACAGCGAGUCCGUCCGACUCAGCGGUGUAUUUCUGCGCCGCUAGCACACACUGAUGUGGUUUGAUACCACUGCUGCACUAAAAACCUCCCGUGGAAAACUAAUGACAGCUUCUCCUGACAGUUUCAGUGAUCAGAGAGUUAUUAUGCUGCUUGUUUGUUGUGUUGUAACACAUUGGUGUGGCCUUAGUUAUUUAUUGGAUAUAAUCUAUGACCGAGCACCUGGAAAUAUAAAAUCUGGUCCAUGUUUUUAUAAUAUCAACAUAGUUAUGUACCAAUACAUACUACUGUGUAAAAUGUCCGAUCUAGCAAUGUAAAAGAAAGUGAUGACAAAAAAAAGUCCUAAUUUGUCCGGAUUUGCACCAAAAUAGAAUGGCUUCAUUCUUGGCCCGUGUCCCGACCUUCCACCAAGUUCUAUCCAAAUCGGGCGCAGUCCUUUCUUGUGCGUAAUCCUGCCGACACUCAAACAAACAGACAAACAAAUGAACAGGGCUGAAACGUCUACCUCCUUGGAGGAGGUGAAAAGGGCAAAGGAGCCAGAAAGAGGCACAAAAUCAUUUGGAAAAGUCAAAAGAGGCGGGAACACACGGGCAGCUGAGGCUGUGAAGCUUCAUGAUCGCGUGAGAGUGCAGAUGGAAAUAAUCAUUUCAUAAUUUGACUACAGCAGCACAUUAAUACAACUGUAACCGGGUUAGAUUUAUAUGACAACAGACAAACAUCAGUUGAUAUGAAAAUAUGAAAGCACAAUAACUGAUCCUCUGCAUUUCAGAUAAAUGAGCAGGUGUUAUUUGUCGCGGUCGGUAUUAUCGCCCUGAACAGUUUCUCAUCGGUUGUCACACUCUUGUCAAGCCUCCACUAUUUCAACUCCAAUUUUUGAAUUCUGCGUACAGCCUGACUGGGAUUAAAGUAUAUUAAAAUUUAAGAGGUAAUCACACAGUGGCCUCUACAGGGUUUAUGUGGGAUUACACUGGGAUUACAUUUAAAAAAAUCAGACCUUGGUUUAUGGAAACCAGGAUAACAUUUUAAAUGGGAGCCAUUAAAAAUAACUAAACAUAGUGAAUGAGGUUUAAUUAACAAAUGUUAUAUGUCUGUCACAUUACAUUUGUCAAUAUGCUUUGUCCCAAGAGUGAUUUUAUUUUUCUUCAAUUAAAAUGGUUCCAUAAAAGGAAGGCGAGUAUAUAUUUUCAUAUGAAAUGGUUAUGGAAUAAAUUUGAGGACGUCAUGUUGUCUACAGGCGUCUUUAUCCUCUUUAAUGUCAUGAAUGAUAAUUGAUGUCAUUAAUUAUCUAAGUAAUAACAUUUUUCUUUUUUAAAUGAAAAAUUAACUGUAAACUUUUAUCUGUUCAUGUGAGCAGCUCUUACAAAAUAAAACAAAAGUAAAUCCUGUUCGUACUCUCUUACUUGUAAAUAUUGCUUUCCAACUUAAAUACGUGUCGUGCAGUUAUGAUGCCAUAACAUACAGUUGAUGAGGUCACUGGUCGUUGGGCACUGACCCUUUUUCAUGCAAUUCACUUUAUUUUAAGCGAACAUCUUUUAGUAAAUGUGAGUGUCCUCCGUUCUCAGAUAACAGGGUGGAUAAAGAGGUGUGACCGUGAGCGACGUCACUUCCUUUGAGAAGUCACAAAAAUAGGAACAAACAAAAACCAGUUUCCCCUUUUGCCUUCCCUCUGUUCUUGCAUCUUUUCUUAGCAGACACAGAAAUAGCAGCAGGCAGACUGGAGCCCGUUCCGCUGUCGGGGCGUCCGACCUGUACAGCUGCUCUCUCUCACAGGGAGAGAUGGAGGCUGAGAUAUGGUGGAGCUUGGGUGGGGGAAGGAGAGAAUGAAGAGAAGAAAACACUUCACGUUUUUGUGUGAUGCUUUUUCACCGUGGGGACAG